AAGACCCUCAGCGCUGGAUCUCAGUGUCCGGGCAGAACAAUGGGGGAGGAGACGCUCCUUCAGGUAUACUGGACCGAGGCCGUUUAGGGCUUUAAAGGUCAGCACCAACACUUUGAAUUGUGCUCGGAAACAUACUGGGAGCCAAUGUAGGUCUUUCAGGACCGGUGUUAUGUGGUCUCGGUGGCCACUCCCAGACACCAGUCUAGCUGCCGCAUUCUCGGUUAAUUGUAGUUUCCGGGUCACCUUCAAGGGUAGCCCCACAUAGAGCGCAUUGCAGUAGUCCAAGUGGGAGAUAAGUAGAGCAUGCACCACUCUGGUGAGACAGUCCGCAGGCAGGUAGGGUCUCAGCCUGCGUACCAGAUGGAGCUGAUAAACAGGGCAGUAUAUAAAUUCUAAUAAUAAUAAUAAUAAUAAUAAUAAUAAAUAAUAAUAAUCUGAUAUAUCACAAUGUCUGAAAUUGGAGAUCAGGGAUGGGGAUGAGGGACUAAUGGAAUCUUAGAGCUGGAGGGGACCCAAGGGGAGCAGCAGCCGCGGAGAACGGAUGAGUGGGGGGAAGAGAGGAAGCGGAUGGUUUGAAUGGAAGGGGAUGGGGGUGCCUCAAGUCUCAGCAGGGCAGCCAGCGGUGGCAGCCAGCAAAGAUGCACGCCCACAGUGGCUGCUGCUUUCCUACUGACUGAGAAAAGCUGCCCUGCCUCAGUGCCAGGGGGCCUUGAAGUGAGGGCGAUCAGCUGCCCUGUUCUCCGUCAGCAUGAGGGGAAGGCAUUGCCUUGCAAUCGGUUGCCCUGGUGUCCUUCGCGUGACAAGCGUCAUAUUGCUAUGUGUUGCCGGUUCAAAAUUGUUAUCGUGAUUUCAAAACCGAUUUUGGCCAAUGUAUUGAAAAAUCGCUCAGUGCUAAAACAGACCAUAAAAUCUGUGAUAUUAUCACACAAAAAUGACAAAAAUAAUAAUAGUUGGGAGGCAGGUGACCCCUAAUUGUGAACCACGGCUCUUGCACAUUGUUCUUCAACCUUGGGUCCCCAGAUGUUGCUGGACUAAAACUCGCAUCAUUUCUGACCAUUAGCUAAGCUGAUGAUGUUAGUGUAGUCCAGCAAAAUAAUAAUAAUAAUAAAAUUUAUUACUUUAAACAGGCAAUGGGACACAUUCAGUCUCUCUGUCUGUUCAAUAACUACUAGUCAUGAUGGCCACAUGCUGUGGGAAACGGGGAUGCUGGGAGAAAUCCCAGGGUGUGCGGGGCCCUGAGUUGCCUGAAUACAUUGAGUGCUGAUGAUGGACCUGGGAGUCAAAUGAUGAGCUGUUAAUUUCACAAUCCCCCCCUUUAAUCUCUCAGGAAGUAAUUCUGAAAAACAAAAGAUAUGUGGCCUGUACAUCCAAAGAUUUUGGUAUUCAUUUCUCUUUAGGAAAUGUGUGAAUUACACAGUGGGAAAAGUAAUUAAAACCAAGGAUUUGAAUUGAUAUUUUGUAUAUGCUGAUCAUAAAAAUGUAAAUUAACUAGCUCCUGACACAGCACAACAAUCCUUCCUCUGGGGAGCUACAAAACUGCUAAUUCAACAAUAUGACAAGCCUAUUUGCAUAGAAACUGUAACACACACUGCCUGCUUAUGUAAUUUCACUCUGAGUGGACUGAAUUAAAUAACUGGUUUUAAAUUGUUUUGAUUCAUCCUGUCCAUCCUGAGUGGAGUGUAUUAUGUUAUGAGUAUGUAUUAUUGUUUCUGUGCUAAUGGAUUUAGCAUAUUGUUGUUGAGAUUGCAGUUUUGUAGUUAUUCUGGAGGAACCAGAGGCACAUUCGAAACUUGUUUGGAGAACAGUAUGGCAAUAAGUCACUUUCUGCAUCUGUUAAUUUCUGCAUCUUUUUGUUUGCUGCUUGGAGAGCAUUGCAUAUGCAGCUUACCUAUGAUUUUUUUAAAAAAAAUAGGCAUGCUUUGUAUUCAGCUUGGACUAUGCAUACAUAGCUAGUGUUUCUAACAUACCAACAUCCAAAUUUUGAGCCUGAAAAUACUGUACCUCAGCAAUAAGAGAAGUUGACAGCCAUUUCCCCCCCCCCUAUCAAGUGCUGUGUUUUCUUGGAGGUAAGCUCCCAGAAAUGGACAAGGACAGAAAUGGUUCUGAGUGGGACCAGAGGUGCUCCACACUCUCUCCCCCCCCCCCCACGCCUCAGCUUGAUAGCAGCAAGGCAUCGUCGGAAGGUGAGGGACCUCCUUGUGCUACGGAGAUGGCUGUAGGAUACAAUUAUAAGUGGUGAAAUGGAGACUGAAAAUUUUAUCGUUGGGAUAAUACGUUGUGGGCCAUGUAAGAUUAAGCAGGGAGUCAGAAGCAAUUGAGGUGGGGGAGAUUGCACAUCCCUGAACUUAGAAGCAGGGGGAAAUACAUUUUCUUGGAAACAGUGCAUACUGGCCAGAGAAUGUGACUGUUGCCUAGAGAACGUACAAAGGGGACUAAGCUAAUUGGCUGGAGAAUGCCCAAAAUGUUCUUCAGAUAUGCGCAUUCUCCAAGGCCUGUUGGAAAUUGCGUACAAUGUGCAGGAAUGUGCACAACUCCCACUUCAUAGAUGAAGUAAGUGCAUAUUCUUCACGAAACCUGGUGAAUCUGCAAAAUGGCCAGCUGUCCAAACAAUAACAGUUUAACUUAGCAUUCCUCUUAAUGGCAUUACCGGUAGAGGGAAUUUGGCAGCUAUUUUCUAAGCCGUCGGCAGGUGGCACUACUGUCUGAAAUAGCAGGCCCCACCUCUUGAGAGCUGAAAAGGCAUGUUCUGUUUGAGUGUGAUACUAAUAAGUACCCUUAUUUGUUUAAACAAAAUAAAAAUAAAAUAGAAAAAUUCCUUCCCGUAGCACCUUAGAGACAGUGAAACAGAGACUCCCUUGGAAGGUGGGGGCCUCUCCUUCCUUUGAGGUUUCUGAAUGGGCAUCUGCCAUGGGUGCUUUAGCUGAGAUUCCUGCAUUGCAGGGGGUUGGACUAGUUAACCUCAGGGGUAACCAGUCAACUCUACAAUUCUAUGAUUCUAUGUUCUUGGACCAGAAAGGGGCUUUUAAAGCUAAAGGGACCCCUGACCAUUAGGUCCUGACCAGAGCAGCACACGGAAACACUGUUUAUGCAAUUUCACAGCACUUAGGCUACUGAUGGGGAAGUUUACACCCUGGAAUUUCAACCAAAUAAGGGUACUUAUUAGUUCCACACUGAAAUUAUGCUAUUCUUUGGCUCCCAUCCACCUUACUUCACUUUAAGUCUACUGGUUGUUGUUUUUUAAAAAGGACACCUGACCAUUAGGUCCAGUCGUGACCGACUCUGGGGUUGCGCGCUCAUCUCGCAUUAUUGGCCAAGGGAGCCGGCGUACAGCUUCCAGGUCAUGUGGCCAGCAUGACAAAGCUGCUUCUGGCAAACCAGAGCAGCACAUGGAAACGCCGUUUACCUUCCCGCUGUAGCGGUUCCUAUUUAUCUACUUGCAUUUUGAUGUGCUUUCGAACUGCUAGGUUGUUUUUUACUGGGUAUAUAACACAGCAUGUUUCAGGCCUCUAGUUGUGUGAGCUUCUAAGAUUAACUUUAUUUUAUCUAUACAUCCUUUAAGUUGUUUUUUUUAAAAAAAAUAUAUAUAAUCAAAGAAACUGCUAUGUAUCCUUAAGUGAUAAUUUGGACAUUAUUUGGGAUGACAUUCGGAGUAUAAAAUUGCUGGCACAGCAGCAUUUAGAAUACAGAACAGCAUGUGGCUACUUUGUCUAAUAUCAACACCCCUGAAACUCAUUCAAAGACACUCUGUGUCAAAGCCUGAAAAGGAGAUGAAAGUUUUGUCUAAAUUACAUAGAUGAAAUGGUAAAGCAAAGGAAAACACAAGCUGUAAAAUCUUUCUGAUGAAUACCAAUGAUCAAAGCCCUUAUUUAUUUCUGUACUCCAAAAACACCCAACACAAGCAAUUUUACAUUCAUUCAUUUAUUUAUUUCUGGGAGUUCCUUCAAAGUCUUGCAAGUAGUUUCUCCUCAUGACAAUUUUAAUGUAAGCAACUCAGUCUCAGGCUUUAAUGGGAUUCACCCUGGUUAAGUUAAAAGUCGCUUGAGAGGCAGUCUAGUGGCUUCUGUUUACACCAAUCCGUCUCUCCUGGAGAUGGGGCUUCAUUUCAUAGGGGGAAAGCAGCCACGGUGGGUAAAAAUUGAUUAAAGCAAAUGCUAUUCCAUCUGAUGUGGCUGUUUCUGCUUCAUUUCAGAAUAAAUUUUUUGUAAACACACACUCUGAAGAAGAAAGUAGAAAGUUUGGCAGACUUUUCUUUUUUUAAAAAAAAACCUGGAUUAUCAAAGUCAGGAAAUAAUCAUUCUGCCUAUAGAUUUAGCAAUGAAGCUCUUGACCUGAUGGCUGGUUGGCUGCAGAACAGAUGAGUCUCUGUUCAUGGUGAACUUGUUCAUGGUGAAUCUUUGACUUGAUGUGGGUUUUUUUUUUCAGUGGUUCACCACUGGUGAUUCUUCAUACAUGCACAUCAUUGCUUGAAUGUGCAAACCUCUCCAUUGUGUUAACAAAGCAGAGAAGGAAAGGCAUUCAACAGCUUCUCAAGUGCUGCACAGCAACGUGGUCAUAGAAUUUAUCCUAUUUCGCCCUCUGAAUAUCUCAUUUCCAAAGGAAACCUGAACCCUUGAGUAAGCCCCUGGACCCCUGCAAUCUUGCACUCCUCGGAGAUUGGGGUGGUGGGGGACAAUAUGCUGUCAUACCAGGCCAGCUAAGAUAAGAGCUGUAAAGAGGUUCCUGCACACAUAUCCUUGUCUGGUUGGGGGCAGGGCUGCAAGGUGUGCAAUUCAACAACCUGAUGGUUUGGGAGAUGCAAUCAACCAGUAAGCAAAGACAUAAAAAGAAACAUAGAAUAAAAACUGCCAUUUACAAUAAAUGCAUCUUUUUAGGAAUGUUUUGUCAUUGCAUUAAUUCUGAAGGAUCAACAAUUUCUUUCUUGCAAUUCCUGCCUUCCCCCUCCCCAAUGGAGCCUUAUUUACACAACACUGUCAGCAUUACGGAGAAAUAUAAACACUUUUCCUCCUUUUUUUUUUGCCUGUAUCACUAUAUUUCUUUUAACUGAAAUCACCUUAAUAAAAUAUAUUUUAAAAAGAUUGGUCCCUGCCCCAAAGUGCUUACUUACAAAGAGCACGCAUAAAGAUCCAAAAGCUGAGAGCCAGGAUUUUCUGUUGACUGUGAAGAAGCAAGCAAAGGCCUUGCAGGUAUGUAGGGCGGCAGCUGGAGUAGCAUCUUUUCAGGGGGGGCAGAGCUGGUGUUUGUUGCCUUUCAAAGGAUGCAUUUGGGACUACAGAUGCCUUGGACCACAGUAGCUGUGCAACAUACUGCCAAUGAUGAAAGGCUAGCAUAAGCCGAAACAUCCCUGUGUCCAUAUUCAUUACCAAGGCAUCAUGCAGAGUAUUGCAAUGGGCUCCGCCUCUUUCCACAGCAAAAAGAUUUUUAUAGGCCUCAACAACAGCAGGCUCUUUGCUUUUAAAACAAUAUUGAGGCACGGCAGAAUUUGACAUGAUGUCAUAAAUGAUGCCUAGCCCCCCCACCUCCCACCCCCGAUAAAAUCCACACACAAAGAGGAUGGGUGGUGAUGGGUUAUCAGCUUAUAGUUACAACAGUCUGAAAUUAAAUAGAACUGGCAAAAGAGUGUCACGCUCUGGGCUCCCUCCAUUCUGGGAAUGCUAAUAGCUGCAAGCAAUUCUUUAUCAAAGGUGAGAACUCAAUGGGACCUUAAAUAAUCCACAUUUAGCUGUUGAAUGUGUGCCUUAAGCUGUUGGACACUGCAAAAGCAAAACAGAAACUUACUUUCGUGUGUGUUAAGUCUCAUUGAACUUGGAAGUUGGAAGGGCACACAAUUCCCUGCAAUGCAGAAAUCUCAGCUAAGCAUCCAUGAAGUGACAGGUGGCCAUCCAACCUCUGCUUAAAAGCUUCCAAGGAAGGCGAGUCUGCAACCUCCCAAAGGAGUCUGCUACACCGCCAAACAGCUCUUACUGUCAGAAAGUUCUUCCUGAUGUAUAGCUGGAAUCUUCUUUCUUGUACCUUGAAGCCAUUGGUUCAAGUCCUACCCUCCAGAGCAGGAGAAAACAAGCUUAUGCCUUCUUCCAUGUGACAUUCCUUGAGAUAUUUGAAGAUGGCUCUCAUAUCUCCCCAUGAGCUGAACAGUCAACAUCUGCUCGAGCAACUUGCCCAGGAGAUGACAAGUGGCUUUAAUGUCCCCUGAUCAUUUUGGUUACCCUUUCUGGUGCUACAUUAUCUUUUUUUGAGGUGUGAUGAUGAAAUACUGUGUACAGUUCUGGUUGUCAGAGUGUACGGUGUGGUUGCAACACAGAUUUAUGUAAAGGUAUUGUAAUAAUGGCAGUUUUCAUUUUUCUUCCUUUCCUUAUUGUCUUUAGAAUUGAAGUGACCUCUCUCAUGCACUGGGGCAACAUUUCCAACUGCAAUUAAAUGUGAGGGCAAAUUAAGGCAUACAGUUUAUUUUUGAGACCAUUUUGAUUCUGGUGUGUAAACUGGUGAAUGAAAAACCAACUCUUGACAAUGGCAUUUCUAUUGAACAAGAGGUUAUGACCUAUGAUGCCGUGUGGGCAGAGUUCCCAUGAGGACUGUUGGAGGGGGGGGGGUUGCCAUGCAUGGUGAGGAGAAGCAGGAAUGAGGGGGCACAGCAACAUACUUCAGCCUUGUUCAGGGUGGCACAAGCUGUGUUUGGAAGCAGCAUGUACGGUACAUUCCAGGGACCACACCAAUAUUAAAUCUGUCAGUCAAGUUUUAAUUCAUUAUAAAGAAGUAAACUACAUUGGUAUAUUUAAGACAAACACUUUGUUUUCUAUGCACACUAUCCACGGGACAGUCCCUUUCCCAAAAUAACUACUUUUAACAGUCCCAGAAAAACACUUCAGAAAGUUUUCACAUUAAACCAACUUUCUGUGCUUUCCCCUUUUCUUUAAAUUCGUCUUAGAAGGAGAAAAAGAACCAUUAAACCUGAAAACAUUUACAUUGCAAGCCACGUUCGAAUGCAUAAAUUGGCAUACAAUAACCAAUGUAUCACAACCGUGUUUUACUUAGUUCACUUUUGUUUGUCAAUAAAAGAAUAUAAAAAUCUUGUUCAACAGAGUGUUAAGUGUAUUAAAAUAGAUUUGUAUAGUACUGCACAGUUUCUCCCGGAGUUGUGAAAAUGGUUGAAGGGACCGUGUGCUGCCUAGUGCUGGGUGACCCCCCCCCCAAUCGAUCAAUAAAAAGCCGAAUCCCUUGAUUUAUUGGCACCGUGUGAUAGGCCGUUGUGAGUUGCUUCACCUGUGGAAUGCAGAAAUGGAUUCUUGCUUCACACCUACUUAAACAGAGGGGCAACAUUUAGAGAGGGGAAGUGGGCAGAAUACCUAUGCCCUUCCUUGAGGUUUCGACCACACACAAAUUAUUUCUCAGGAGCACUUAUAUUUCUGGCCAACUCUCUGGUUCUACAGGGUGACUUACUAUUGUCAUAUAUAUAUUUAAAAUGGGUCUGUGUCUUAGGUAUGCAUGCCAAAGGCACAAAUCCAUUUGUUUAAAACAAACAAACAAACAAGACUGUAUUAGUAUUGAGAAAGAUGCUAUAGUUGUGAAUUUCUAAAAGUAACACAACAAAUGCCGUUAAAAUACACUGCUACUUUGUAAUGUAGGACUUCAAAUCCUAUACACCAGAGUUGGCCAAUCCUCCAGGACCCGAGGGCCAAAUUUACUCAUAGUCAAUCCUUCAGGGGCUGAUUGCCAGCUAUCAGUGUGGCCUCUUUGCAUUCCUACAUACACACUUGCAGCCUCCCUCCUCAGAUAAUCCGUGCAGAUCAGCUGAGGAAAGAGGGCUGCUGCCCCCCCCCCCCGUCCUUUGCUCAUCAAAUGACUGCCUGAUUUCUGGGGAGGGGUUUUUGCAUCUGCCCACCCCAGCACACACACACACACACACACACACACACACUCCCCCUCUCAAAGUUUGUCACUGCUGAAAAAAAUGGGCAAAAUCUUUGGGGUGCAGAAAAACUGUCUUGGAGGCCAGAUUCGGCCCCCCCAAACCAGAGGUUAUCACUUCUGCUAUGUAAAUUUACCUGGGGAAAAGUACCAUGGGGAUCAAGGGCACCAGCUUUUGAGUAGACAUGAAUAUUCAAGAGUGAAUCCCCCAAUCCCUGGUGCUCCUCAUAGGGUUAUAGAAUGGGAAAGUUACGCUAAAGAGAAACUGGUCUGUCCCUCACUAACUUCUGAGGUAGGCCUCAGGGCACCGCUUGGCCUGGGGGGGCCAGACUGAGCUUGCUGCAUCAGGAAGACUAGCUAGAGGGACCGGGGGAAUAAAGCAGAUUCUCUAGCAUUUUCUCAGGCUAAUGCUAAACAUGUCACAUGUAAAAAUCAACACACAAUAUAAAAAGAAAACGUUUCCCAAAAAGCAACCGAUACUUAGAAUGUGACAG